GAUUUUUGAAAGCAGUUUGUCCUUCUAAAUGUGUAUUCAUCUAACUGCAACCAUUUUUUUUUCUAGAUGAGAAAACUCCCCUUGGCCUUACCUAAGCCUGCCACACUUGACUCCCAAGGAAAGUUUUCGCUUUGGGCAGGAACUAAAGAAUCAAACCGCUUGGGAAACUAAGAAAAUCACAAGUGAGAAGUGUGGUACCCAGGAAUGAAAUGUCUCCAAGUAACAGAAAAGUAACCGGAGAGGUAAGGAAUAUUUGUUAUUUCUGUUAAAAAAAAAAAAGUUUAAAAACCUCUAUUACAACUCUAAAU
rnacentral:lncRNA from 1 species